AAUCAACGCUGGCGGCGUGCCUAACACAUGCAAGUCGAGCGCGAAAGGGGGCUUCGGUCCCCAAGUAGAGCGGCGGACGGGUGAGUAACACGUGGGUAAUCUGCCCUUGGGUGGGGAAUAACUCAGGGAAACCUGGGCUAAUUCCGCAUGACAUCGCCUCCUCAUAAGGAGAGGCGAUCAAAGCUGGGGAUCCUUCGGGACCUGGCGCCUGGGGAGGAGCCCGCGGCCAAUUAGCUUGUUGGUGAGGUAAAGGCUCACCAAGGCUCCGAUUGGUAGCCGGCCUGAGAGGGCGGACGGCCACACUGGGACUGAGACACGGCCCAGACUCCUACGGGAGGCAGCAGUGGGGAAUUUUGUCAAUGGGGGAAACCCUGAACAAGCAACGCCGCGUGAAGGACGAAGGCCUUCGGGUUGUAAACUUCUGUCGGAGGGGACGAAAGCGGUUGCGGUUAAUACCCGUUUCCGUUGACGGUACCCUACGAGGAAGCCCCGGCUAACUCCGUG
rnacentral:rRNA from 1 species